rnacentral:rRNA from 1 species
UACCUGCAGCUCGAGUGGUAACCGCUAUUAUUGGGCCUAAAGCGUCCGUAGCCGGUUUGGUAAAUAUCUGGGUAAAUCGUGAGGCUUAACUUCACGAAUUUCGGAUAGACUGCCAGACUUGGGAUCGGGGGAGGUCAGAGGUACUCCAGGGGUAGCGGUGAAAUGUUGUAAUCCUUGGAGGACCACCGGUAGCGAAGGCGUCUGACUAGAACGAGUCCGACGGUGAGGGACGAAGCCCUGGGGCGCAAACCGGAUUAGAUACCCGGGUAGUCCAGGGUGUAAACGAUGUGGGCUUUGUAUUGGAGGUCCCACGUGGGCGUCCAGUGCAGAAGAGAAGUUGUUAAGCCCACCGCCUGGGAAGUACGGUCGCAAGGCUGAAACUUAAAGGAAUUGGCGGGGGAGCACAGCGAACGGGAGGAGGCGUGCGGUUU